rnacentral:rRNA from 1 species
AGCUCCAAGAAUACGCGGAGGAGGUGGCUCGGGUCGGCGUCGGCGCCGUCCGGUGCGGGCCACGGGCCCGCUUCCAAGUGCGUCUGCGCGCCGGCCACCCACGCCGGGUCCUUCAAGUGUCGCUUCCACCGCACCAAGUCCCAGAGCCACGGCCACGGCCAGGGCCAAGGAAGCCGCCCUUCUUCGCCCCCUUCACCGGCCGCGGCCAACACGGUGCCGCGGCACCCGGCCUCACCGUCCUCGUCCUCCAGCACCGUCCCGACCCAGUGA